UGGGGAUUCCCCCAGCUGACUUUUCUUCAGGCGGGUUAUUUGGGGCUGACCUCAGAGAAGGCCAAACUGGGUGCUGCAGGGGAAGGGAGGGAAGAAACAGAGCACAUUUGUAAGUAUUUUGAUCAUAAUAGUUGCCAUUUAUUGAGCUCUCUCCAUCGAUCUGGCCCAAUUCUGAAUUUCACAAGCACUAACUCUUUAGAUCCUCACCACCUGGGAGGGAGGUAGUCUUCUUCUUCUCACUUUAAGGAUGAGAAGACUGAGGCUCAGAGAAGCUAAGUUACCUGCCCAGGACCAUCUAGCUUCUAAAUCACAGAGCCAGGAUUUGGACUCGCAUCUGCCCAGCUUCAAAGCUUGUGACGUCAACCAGUAUGCCAUACAGCCUCAGGGAGGGGGACACAGGCGUGGUGCCCCCUUCACUGAAAUAAAUACGAUCAAUUCAACAACAACAACAACAACAACAACAAAAUUGCAGGUUUAUUGUUAUCCCUGCUCCCUAAUCGAGUAUCACCUCUAUACCUGAGGUCUCAAACAAAUGGCCUGCGGGCCAAAAUCUGUCCGGACGCUUACUGAAUUUGGCACGCGGUCUUUAGAAAUAACUUGACCGGCUCCUAAAGGCCUUUGAGUUUUGUGGCUUUGGCCUCUCAUCCCCCUUGCUUUAUUCAGUUCCGUUUCAAGAGGACAGAAGUGCUGUUUUACAGUUUCAAUGCAAGUACCUACACUGAACACGGGGAAGGUGGACCUCACAGAGUUUCUGCAGAUAGUGUCACCCAGGUGAGGACGCACUCAGCAGCAGCUACCAUGCAAAGGUCAUCAGCAGGUCCGUGAGAGGCCGGACAAGGCCUGGCAGGGACCGCAGCGUCACAGGGCAGUAGCAGGAGAAGGCCAGAGGGGUAAACAUGACUACACGCAACUUCGGAGUGGAGCUACUGUUGCACUUGGUGGAACCAGGCCAGGUCCCUGAUCUCACACUUCCUUGGCAGGGUCCUUCUCUGCCGCGAUCAUCUGGGAGUCACGUGUUCUCAGUGCCGCUGUGACGGGAACAAACGCGAGCAAGAGGCCAGCCUUUCUGGGCCCAGCAGAACACCACUCCUUUCAUGGCCGGGGUGCCCAUAAUUAGUCUACAAAUAGUACUGUGCCCGUCGCCAGCUCACCCCUUCUGUCCUUAUUCCUACUCACUGCGCCCCAGUUGCCUUGUCUACAUGCUGUACUUCCCUGUGGAGUGGAGGAAAGGGAAAGAAGGAAUCCGACUCCCUAUUAUUGUAUGGAAUGCAGCAGGCAGCCCUCCUGGCGAUCAGAUUAUGUCCACGCAUCGUCCCUGAAUGAUUUCAUCUGAACUGUUGACUCCUGAACUCACCACAAUUCUCCCUCAUGGCUCCCUCAUGAUGCCCAGAUGAAGAAGCUCUUGCAGAUCAUCGGGUUAUUUGGACCUUACAACAGGACAAAUGGCUCUGAGUCCAGUGCUCCUUCCUCCAGCCCUACCAGGAGGCCCUGUAGCCCCACCCCACUCCCACCGCAGGGGCUCUCGCUCGCUGGCUUAAUGAAGAUUUCCUGAGCCCCUGCUCCGUGCCCAGCACCGGCCGGCAUGCUGAGACAUAACACUGAGGAAGAUAGUUCGCAGAGGAAUUGAUGGCACCACCUGAAAUGCUAGAGCCUUAUCCACCCGGCCCCGCGCUGGGCCCAGCAGCAGAACGGUAGAGUUCUUCCCUUACCUCUGGAUCAGGCUUCUGUAUGUUCUCCAGGCUUUUUACCAGGGUUGUGGACGUUCCUGAGCUGCAAGGCAUGAAAAUCAUGGGGAAUUAACCGGCCAGCACUGUAUGUUCAAGAGUCCCUGCAGGAGACCCCACAGAGCUUUGUGCAGAGGGGGACCUCAGAGGAGGAACUAUUCUCUCUAGAUGCCCACCGCCAGCACCAGUCAGCCCACCUCGAAACCUGAGGAGUGCAUCUCUCUGAUGAAGGGCAGGAAGGGAUUCUGGAGAUAGUCUGGGCUGAACAGCAGCGUUGACUUCCCUAUUAACCUAGCUAACAUCUUUCUGCCCACACACUUUCAAGUGAAUUAACAGUGAGGGCCACGGGAUUAGAUUUUAUCACAACCGAGGACUAGGGAGAUGUAGCUGGACCAGCAGGGGGCGACAGAAGCUCAGCGACACCCAGUUUCAAAGGGUUCCUGGCCAUCCGGGCGGGGGGGGGGGGGGGGGGGGGGGGCGGCGGUUGGCAGAGCAGAAUUGGCGCCAGAAACUCCCUGAGCGGCCAGCCCUGGCCCCUUCCCAGCCCUCGGCCUUUGAUCUCUUGACCAUCUGCCCUCUGCAUCUGCCACUGAAUACACUUCCUUUUUUUCUGCUCUGGCCUAGGCAAGAGCUAAAAAAUAAUAA